rnacentral:tmRNA from 1 species
GGGGAUGUUCUGGCUUCGACGCUGGUGAUGAAACCUGAUGGUGCAUGCCGAGAGUAUAUGUCCUCUCGUAAAUCAAACAUAUAUUGUUAUAAUUGCAAACGACGAAAGUUACGCUCUAGCAGCCUAAACCCCUGCUUUCUUAACUGCUGAUUGCCCAUAGUUGGUCAGUUAAGUAUAGCGCACGCAUAUGGGAUCGCUCUGGGAACUGCCUUAGUUCUCAGGGUUCAAACUCAAAGGAUCGCCCAAUCCAUCCUGACUGUCGGAUCGGUGCGGGUUAAAACCAUAGACAGAAACUAAGCAUGUAGAUCCACAGGCGUAAUGCUGGCGGACGCGGGUUCAACUCCCGCCAUCUCCACC